GUUUACCAUGUUGGUGGCUUCUAGCACUGUGUGAUGCUGCACAUUGCACUGUUUCACUAGUUAUGGCUUUGUCAGGUGAAAAAAAAACCUACGGUGUAGGGCAGGGUAGACAAAGACAGAAACACUGAUGUUUUAAAACUACACCUUCCAUGAUACAUUGCCAGGCUUAAGUCUUUCUCUUUGUUUCUAGAUAUGUAAUUUACUUUUUACAACAAUAAAAAAUGAUCUAAAUAUGAGAAGUGGUGAUGUUUUGUUCGGUU